GGCCCUGUAGCUCAGUUGGUAGAGCGACAGAUUCCAAUUCUUGGAAUACACUAACGCGGUAUCCCUUGGAAUAUAGAUUGUUUCCUGUCGGUCUAGGGUUCAAUUCCCUACGGGGUCA